rnacentral:rRNA from 1 species
GACGAACGCUGGCGGCGUGCUUAACACAUGCAAGUCGAACGAUGAUCUCCCGCUUGCGGGGGUGAUUAGUGGCGAACGCGUGAGUAAUACGUGAGUAUCCUGCGCUUGACUCUGGGAUAAGCCUGCGAAACCGGGUCUAAUACUGGAUACUACUUCCUGCCGCAUGGUGGGGGGUGGGAAGGGUUUUACUGGUUUUGGAUGGGCUCACGGCCUAUCAGCUUGUUGGUGGGGUAAUGGCUCACCAAGGCGACGACGGGUAGCCGGCCUGAGAGGGUGACCGGGCAAACUUGGACUGGGACUCGGGCCAGACCCCCACGGGGGGCAGCAGGGGGGAAAUUUGGCCAAUGGGGGGAAACCUGAAUCAACGACGCCGGGGGGGGGGUGACGGGCUUCGGGUUGUAAACCUCCUUUAGCAGGUAAGAAGCCGCGAGUGACGGUACUGGCAGAAGAAGCGCCGGCUAACUACGUG